AGGUCCCGAGCGUUGUUCGGAUUCAUUGGGCGUAAAGGGUGCGUAGGUGGCGCUGGAAGUGGGGUGUGAAAUCCCGGGGCUUAACUCCGGAACUGCAUUCCAUACUGCGGUGCUUGAGGACUGGAGAGGAGACUGGAAUUUACGGUGUAGCAGUGAAAUGCGUAGAGAUCGUGAGGAACACCAGAGGCGAAGGCGGUUACCUGGACAGUUACUGACGCUCAGGCACGAAAGCAUGGGGAGCAAAAGGG
rnacentral:rRNA from 1 species